UAGGUUUUGUUUUAGGGAACAAUUGCUGUUUAGUGCUACUUUUGGUUUUAAUUCCUCGUUUUAAUUUAUUAUGCCUUUGCCCACUUAUUUGACACUGUCUGAAAGGAAUAUCAUAAGUGGUCGUGGGCCCACUGGUUGGGAUACUCAAAUCCCAUGUAGUAGGAAUACUACCAAUCCACUGCGCGCAUGUUGUUUUUUUGUUUCUUAAAGUUUU
rnacentral:lncRNA from 1 species